UUGCUUCUUUUUGUGACACAGCUGGCUGCCUAGUUUUCCCAGUGUCUGAUGCUCACUCUCGGACGUAGGAGCCAGGGAGGUGACUCUGCAGGAUGCUAAAGGACCAUUUGCGUCACAACUGAUUGGAGGACUGUCCCAUAUGCACACCACUGUCACAUGGGUAGGAUCACUAGCCUCAGAAGAAUCUUCCUGAGCAUGGAAGAGGAGCCUAUACAGUUUGCCAUGGUUACUGCAAUGCUGCCGCAUUCCCAGCUGCAGAAAACAACAAGAAGAAGAAAAGCCAGGACACAGAAGCCCAGAGCUACACUGUCUCCUCCCCUCCUUGUUCUCUAUAUUUAUCAAUUACAAACUCCUAGUUUAACUACCCACAAAACUUUAGUUUUACGGACUAACACCCUUCCUCCCUUCUUUAGCGAUCCUAGCCCCUGCCACCUCCUAAGUUUGCUCACACAUCUCCUCUGAGACCUGAAGCACCUGCUCUGUCAGAUCUUACCUGGUUUUCUUGACCCUGAGAUACACUUGCCCUGUAUCCUUGCCACUGUCAGAAAGUUGCUAAAUGUAUCGGUAUUGGGUAUAUAAACUGGAAGCCUUGUGGGACUGGA